GAUGAACGCUGGCGGCGUGCCUAAUACAUGCAAGUCGAGCGAACAGACGAGGAGCUUGCUCCUCUGACGUUAGCGGCGGACGGGUGAGUAACACGUGGAUAACCUACCUAUAAGACUGGGAUAACUUCGGGAAACCGGAGCUAAUACCGGAUAAUAUAUUGAACCGCAUGGUUCAAUAGUGAAAGACGGUUUUGCUGUCACUUAUAGAUGGAUCCGCGCCGCAUUAGCUAGUUGGUAAGGUAACGGCUUACCAAGGCAACGAUGCGUAGCCGACCUGAGAGAGUGAUCGGCCACAUGGGAACUGAGACACGGACCAGACUCCUACGAGAGGCAGCAGUAGGGAAUCUUCCGCAAUGGGCGAAAGCCUGACGGAGCAACGCCGCGUGAGUGAUGAAGGUCUUCGGAUCGUAAAACUCUGUUAUUAGGGAAGAACAAAUGUGUAAGUAACUAUGCACGUCUUGACGGUACCUAAUCAGAAAGCCACGGCUAACUACGUG
rnacentral:rRNA from 1 species